UACAGAGGUCCCAAGCGUUGUUCGGAUUCAUUGGGCGUAAAGGGUGCGUAGGUGGCGCCGUAAGUCGGGUGUGAAAUUUCGGAGCUUAACUCCGAAACUGCAUUCGAUACUGCGGUGCUUGAGGACUGGAGAGGAGACUGGAAUUCAUGGUGUAGCAGUGAAAUGCGUAGAGAUCAUGAGGAAGACCAGUGGCGAAGGCGGGUCUCUGGGCCGCAACUGACGCUGAGGAGCGAAAGCAUGGGGAGCGAACAGG
rnacentral:rRNA from 1 species